rnacentral:rRNA from 1 species
CCUACGGGAGGCAGCAGUGAGGAAUAUUGGUCAAUGGGCUUACGCCUGAACCAGCCAAGUCGCGUGAGGGAAGACUGCCCUAUGGGUUGUAAACCUCUUUUGUCAGGGAGCAACGCCGGCUACGUGUAGCCGGACUGAGAGUACCUGAAGAAAAAGCAUCGGCUAACUCCGUGCCAGCAGCCGCGGUAAUACGGAGGAUGCGAGCGUUAUCCGGAUUUAUUGGGUUUAAGGGGUGCGUAGCCGGAACGCCAAGUCAGCGGUAAAAUCGCGGGGCUAAACCGUGCUUCGCCGUUGAAAUUGGCGUUCUUGAGUGGGCGAGAAGUAUGCGGAAUGCGGGGUGUAGCGGUGAAAUGCAGAGAUAUCACGCAGAACUCCGAGUGCGAAGGCAGCAUACCGGCGCGCAACUGACGCUGAAGCGCGAAAGCGUGGGUAUCGAACAGGAUUAGAUACCCGGGUAGUC